GCCUGAGGGGCUCAGUCGGUUGAGCAUCCGACUUCGGCUCAGGUCAUAAUCUCACGGUCUGUGGGUUCGAGGCCCAUAUCAGGCU
rnacentral:tRNA from 1 species